UAAGUUCCUUGGAACAGGACKGCAUAGAGGGUGAGAAUCCCGUAUGCGGUCGGAAAGGCGCUCUACACGUAGCUCCUUCGACGAGUCGAGUUGUUUGGGAAUGCAGCUCUAAAUGGGAGGUAAAUUUCUUCUAAAGCUAAAUAUUGGCCAGAGACCGAUAGCGCACAAGUAGAGUGAUCGAAAGAUGAAAAGCACUUUGGAAAGAGAGUUAAAAAGCACGUGAAAUUGUUAAAAGGGAAGGGAUUGCAACCAGACUUGCUCGCGGUGUUCCGCCGGUCUUCUGACCGGUCUACUCGCCGCGUUGCAGGCCAGCAUCGUCUGGUGCCGCUGGAUAAGACUUGAGGAAUGUAGCUCCCUCGGGAGUGUUAUAGCCUCUUGUGAUGCAGCGAGCGCCGGGCGAGGUCCGCGCUUCGGCUAGGAUGCUGGCGUAAUGGUCGUAAUCCGCCCGUCUUGAAACACGGACCAAGGAGUCUAACAUCUAUGCGAGUG
rnacentral:rRNA from 1 species